CCAAUAGCGUAUAUUAAAGUUGUUGCAGUUAAAAAGCUCGUAGUUGAAUUUCGGGAUUGACACAUCGGUCGUGCCUUAAGGGGUAUGAACUGGUGUAGUCAAUUUCUCACCUUCUGGAGAACCGCGAUGCCCUUAAUUGGGUGUCGCGGGGAACCUGGACCUUUACUUUGAAAAAAUUAGAGUGUUUAAAGCAGGCAUUU
rnacentral:rRNA from 1 species